AGGCACUGAAACGUAAUCCCUAAUAACUGCCCCCCAUCUUUCCACCCACGCCAUCAGCGGCGGCGGGAGGAGGCACACAUCCAACUGCCGUCUCCCGUCGGGGGCAGCACUGCGCCAAAACGAGGAGGAGGGAGGCGGCCGGGUCCGCUCCGGAGGGCGACGAGGCGACCGUCUACGAGGAGGGAAUCUUCAAGCUGAAGGUCUACCCAAUCUUAGCAUCGUCGGGAGGAGGAUGGCUAUGAGCAGGCUUCCCGGUCCAAGCGGCAGCAUCGCGGCAGCAGGUCUCUGACCUCCAUCCCAUCUGCCCCGGUUCCGGCGAUCCAACAUCAACCGUCGACCAAUCUUCAGGCUGGGAGACAUGGCCUGGUACAACACGGUAUGCUAGCCACUGUGCUAUAAUUCCAUCGACGCAUACUACACCCAGGUAUGGGAUUACAAUCAUACAUGUCCUUCUUUAGAUGAGCUGACGAGACCUGCUCCGUUAUGCAAGUAUUUUCCAGUGUUGAUUGAACAAACAUACGUGCUAAGGUAUACUUUAGAGAGAAAAGCAAUCAAAUUAAUAAUUUAAUUAAAAGAAUUACAUGAAAUAGCCAGGUUUUUUUUGCACUUCGCUCUGUUUGUAGAUAAACCAUAUUUACCUAUUAGGUAUACUUUAUUUUUGGGGAAGAAAAGGAGAAUGCCAUUUUAUCAUGUAGCAAGAGGAAGACACUUGAGCAUGAUUCCCUGCUCAAAAUUGUAAGUUGUAUACAACAUUAUGGUUCUCUGGUACACUACUCAAGGUGCAAUGGCGACUAUGCCGUUCGCCGGUGCAGAUGUCUGGCAUCGUCGAUAGUCACUGCGAGUUUUUUGUGGCAGCCUCGGUGCGUUGAACAUGGCCACGGGCAAUGACGACGAUGUUCUUCCCCAAUGCGGAUGCCUGGCACCGUCGACCGUCGUCGCGGGUUGUUUGUGGCGGCCUUGGCGCCGUGCCACCGCUAUGCUCGCCAUGGUCAUCAUCCUUUAACCUCGACAAGCUCGGGGUUGUCGAGAGGGUGCGGACUAGGUGCUACUUGACGCACAACACAGGCAAAGCGAAGCUCAUCAACCUCAUGGUAUGCGACCAUUAAAGGGGGCCAGAGGGGCUUUCUGUCCCUUCUUCUGGACACAAUACAUGCUAGCUUGUAAUUAUGUCCUGUUGUUGAAGAUGAUACAUGAGUAUAUAACCGAAGUAAAGAAAGCCUUUGUUGAAAGAAAAAGGAAUCCAAAACUCUUUCAUGUUCCUGCCUUGACAAGAUUUAUAAGAACUGCACGCAGUCGAUCGUUAGCAGAAUUGAUUGUAAUUUCUUGGCAUGAAAUGUACAAUUAUGAAACUUCGGGAAAUUAAGAAUUGCAAAAACUGAUUAUUGUUGCAUCAAGCUACAAUGUCUCCAUAGUGGCUAAUCGGGGGUAGAAGAUUCAAUCCUUAUUUGAUGGUUGCUGACAGGGAGCUGCAGUACUGCAUACAUCAUGAUUCCAUGGAACAUGUGCGAUUCCUCUUCUUAGCUUAUCCAACAGCUUCCUCCCCUCAAAUGACUAAAUGAGGUUACGUGAGAUGGCAGACUUUUUAAAGCGAUGGCAAUGCCAAACCAAGGGUAAGUGAAGUGGUGGAGAUGAUAAUGCUAAACCAAGGGCAAAUGAAUGGGGUAGAGACUAGAGAGGAAGAAGAGGCUGCGAGACAUGAGAGGAAAAGAAGAGAAUUGAUAUUCAUCCAUAUAUGAACGCGUUCAGCGGAGACAGGGGCCCUGCAUCUCUUCCCUGGCCCGCCCGAUGAGGUGUUCAGCGGAGACUCCGAAUAUACUGAAGCUGAGUUCCACAUGAUCCCCUCCGAAGCGGACGACCGGUCGUUUCGCGUGCUCUGCGUCCCCAAACACAGGGGAAAGCAGAUCGCCAUCUUGUCACCGGACAACAUGGAGUGGCAGAUUUCCCCAACACCGUGGAGCCUCCAGGAUGCACACAAUGUUAAGCUAGUUAGGAACAGGCUUGUUUACUGGGCAUCUUCAGGCCGCCAAGACUAUAUCCCUGUGCUGGACACUGCAUCAAUGCAAUUCUCUCAAGCUCGCAUGCCGCCGACUCGGCUUUCCGGUGUCUUAGGUGAGACCAACGAUGGGAAGCUCUGUUUGGUUUGCGUGUCUAACCUUCUGAUUGAUGUUUGGGUCCCAAGAGCUGGUGACGACGGUGUCGAUAAAUGGAUGCGGAACAGGACAUUUCAUAUGUUGGAUGCGUUUGACGAUCUUGCUCUAAACAUGAUCGAUGAAGUUCCUUUGCUCAAUGUUAGGGUCGUGGCGAUUGUCGGUGGCUUUGUGUAUUUGACUAUUUGUCAGAAAGAGCCUCCUAACUGGCUCCUAUCAUUUUGCAUUGAAACAAGGGAAAUGCAAAGGCUGUGCCAAAUCACUAGAUCCGUGUUCUACUAUCCCUACAUCAUGGCGUGGCCUCCCUCUUUGCUACGCAACAAGGCGGGAUCAGCUUAGUCCAUCACCUCUCAAAAUAAAUAAAUGACAGGCAACUAAGUUUGGCAGGAGCUACCAGAUGCGACAACCGAUUUAUCCAGUUAAUGUCCGACUGAGCUGCCCGAAACUAUUGAGGCCAGAAUGAGAAGCAUAUGUUCCAUUCAAUACAUGCUGCAGAAGUUCUUUCAAGCUCCGUAGCUUGGCUGGUUAGAAACCGGAAUUGCAAGUUUACUGUAGGUGCUACAGCAUGCUGGUCUUUGUUGAUCCACAAGGAGAAUCUGAGCUACCUUCAGCUAUAACUUGUAUCUGUUUGUGAAACUUCGUUAGAACUGUCAAGCGGCAAGCAACUAUGUAAUGAUACCAUGAUGUAAUGAAACAACGGAUGAUGAUGCUGAAGCUCUUUACUUCCUUCUAUAACCCUCGCUUAAGUGCUA